UUGUUCUUUCUCUUUUAGUGCAUCAUCAUGGCAUAUGCAUCAUAUCAUCUAUGUUUUAAUAAAUAAAAUUAUUUUAUUAAGCCAAACUAUUUUGUUUUUCUCUCUCUCCAUCUCUGCAUUCAAAAUUCAAAUUUGCUUGAACUAUUUUAAAACCAGUUUACAAAACAGUUUGAAAAUAAAAUUGAAAGAGUUUUUAUAAAAACAAACCCUAACCCCCUAACCUGGGCCUCUCUUUCCCUAACCUCUCUUCCCUGGCCUGUUUCCUCUCUUUCCCGGCGGCCCUUUUCUCUCCCCUUCGGCCCAACCCACCUGGCCCGAGUACCCCUUCGCAAGCACUCUAUCCCUUCUUUUUCAUCCUCGCUGGACAACGACGGGAGGGACGCACGCACAUGGCGCUGUCCUCCCUCUGUGACCACAACACCUCAACCACCACCUCCUUUUCCCCUCCCUUUAAUCCCCAUCCAAGCCAGAGCAAACCCUAGACCAUCUCCUCCCUCGCGCCGCCAUCUAUCUCCUCUUCUCCCCACCUUUCUCUUUUCUCUCUGUGAACGAACGAAGGGAACAGAACCAUGGCUACUGCCACCUCCUCGCCAUGGCGCCGCCUCUACCGGCCACCCCUCUUCGAUCUGAGACCACCGAAAGAUGCGCCUCGUCGUCCUCUCCAUCUCCGUCCAAGGAAUCGACCGGGAACCUCUCCAACCGUCGCCACGUUCGCCGAUUCCUUCUCCGGUCGGCGAUGCUCUUCUUCAAAUUCCGGCCACUCCGGCGAGCCCCUGGUCUCCGUAUCGCCGCCAUCAGGUUCUCCGCAUUCAGGCGCACCCUCGACUCCAUCUUCCUCGUCUCCGUUCGCUUCCAGCCGUCGAGUUCGUCUCCGACCAGGGCUGCCAGUCAUGGCCUCCAUGCCCAAGCUCUGGUUCGUCUGCUUCAAAGGAAGAUCUUGAGUUCAGAGAUGCUUCACUUAACACGUGAGACCAUCCGAUUCAACAACAACAGCCAGCUCUUCUGAUCUUGCACACUGAUGGGCCUCGUCCCAGACUUUCUCUGUGCGGCCCAUUCCCGCGCGUCCAGCAACUUCCUGCCGCCUACGCGGCUUCGGCCCAAAUUCUCUCCGACGCAGCAGCAUCCCAGUUCCGGCCCAGGACAACGCAGCAUUUGCUUCUUCCCGGAUAGGAUCACGAAGUGGUGCGGUGAGAUACGCCAAGUUCUCCGGAUGUCCCUCGGCAAGCUUUAACAGGCAAGCAUUUUCCCCUAUACUUCUGCCCCUGCAGAAGUCGCUCACCUAUUUUAUUUUGCCUUCUCCCUCAUGCUAGCUUUAAGUUGCGUUCUUGUCACGUGUCCCUUCCACCUGUUACCUCAAGCAGCCCAUAUUGCCUCCACCAACCUCCUACAGCUGUUGUUUGGUUAUCGGGUCUGCCUUGCGAGUCGUAGUGCAUGCUAGUGCUGUUUAUAUCGUUUUACCGUUAUGCUAUCUUAUCGGGUUAUCUGUUAGGGAAUCAUGACACAUGGUUUAUGGUUAUAUAUGUUGAGGAUAUCAUGGUUACUUGUUAAUAAUUGUAAGCGGAGGCAUCGGUGGGUCAGCUGCUCGUUUUGUGACGGCUCACUUGUGUUUCCUAAAUAUCCUAGGACCCCGAGUUCUUGUUAUCUGUUUCGAGACUGAGCGCUCUAAUCACACGUGGGUAUGUUUCUGGGUCUCCCCUCGACCACUGCCGGAAUCUACAGCUUUGUCCAGUGGCCACGACUAGUUUCGUAAUGCUUUACCAUUUGUUGUUUGCGUGCAUGCCAGCAUGUUACUUAUUUAUUUUGGGAAGCCCAGUGAGCCUUGUAUCCCUUGUUUCUGGUAUGCACGUAUAGGUUUGCGGCCUGAGCGUUUAUCGCAUGCUGAAGCGGGUCAUUCGCCCCUGUGUGUGUUUUGACCCUCGGAAGCCGUGCACGCAAUAGCUAGGUCCGUUUCGGAGAUACGGCCGGACUUCGAUUCGGGUUCAACUUGGUUAGGUGGCUUCCUGGACAUUGUUGUCGUGAAGGAGAGUGCGAGUCGUUAUAUCCACCUGUCGCAAGUGGGUUGAUCGUGCGUGUGGGCACAUUUGGGCACCCCUGCAGGGUAAAAUCUUAUCGAUAAGCCGCGUCCGCGGUUAUGGACGACUUGGAGCUGUAUGACUCGACCAUAGAUAACUUACACCUGCUGUUUCAAUCAUAAUAACUUGUGUAGUAAGUUAGCACAACUUCAAUAAUAAAUGGUUAAAACUUGACAACCGUGUGAGUGCCUUUGUAAGUACCUCCUGGCGAGGGGGAACACAUCGGCUGUGUUAUGUUUGCAGAGUAUAGAACUGUUAGUUUAUGCGCUUUCUCACCUUCUCUGAUAGACGAAUGUUGUAGAGUGUCUCUAUAGGUUUUGUAGUGCUUGCGCGCUGCCGCUUAACCCCACAAUAUUGCCUAUGACGUUCCUCUUGCGUCCUCUAAGUCCCCUGCGUGCCUCAAGUACAAAGGACGACUGGUUGACGAAUGCUUAUACGUCUUGAAGUCUUGUUAAGUACGAACCCGUACUUAUUGCUGCUUCUACGGGACAUAACCGGGCAGGUACGAAGAUCGGUACGAUGAAGAACGACGCUAGCAAGGUUACCCUUCCGGCUUGGCCUGGGCAGGGUUAUGGACGCCAUUUGAUUAUCUUCAGGACUCUUAGUCCAAUUUGUAUCUUGUCCGUACUCGGAUGUAUUUGAUCUUCUGUAUGAUUUGGAUCUUUGUAUGUAUCUAUUUGUAUCUUGACUCGUUGGAGUCGUUGUUGUAAUAUAUAUGUCUCUUGUGGGCUCUACUGUAAUCCUGUUGUAAUGAUUACUACUCGUGAUUGAUUCCACCCGCAUCGCGUGCAUGCUUCGGCGUGUACGAGGCGCUUGGUGGUGCGUCUCCUAGAAUCGAUAUCGUGCGGAUUUCGGCGGAUUCGCUGGGAUCCUCAUGGUACCGGUUUUGGGGCGUCACAAGUUGGUAUCAGAGCAUCAGGUUGACGAUACCCCACUGGUCCA